AUUUAAUCUUAUUUCAUAACUUUAAUCUUUUUUCCUAUGAAUGAGUCAUCUAGUGCAUACACAUGCACACACACUCCCUGGCCCUGACUUACAUUUCACAGCCUUCUUGUUUGACCAGGCAGUGAAGGACAUCGUGCCUCCAACACUGUGCCCUAAUUCUUUGAAGAACACCUAGGUUCUUCAUAGCAGGCUGCCAUACCUCAUUCUGGCUGAUUUUAGGUGAGAUGAUUUCAAAAUUACUAGGUAACAGUAAAGAGUGGGAGCCAGUCGAAUGAAUCAUGGGGAAUGACUUGGGGAAAGCACCCCUCUCUGUCAUGUGUACAACCAGAAUUGACCUGGGAGAGACGAAGAGGAGUGGCAGGUUGGAGUAAGAAGGUUUCUUAGCCCUUGCCUUUUCCAGCUAGAGUAUCUUAGCCCCUGCCUCCCCACCCCUUGGGAGUGGUCCUUUGUGAUGUCUAAGCUCCCUGGGGCCACCAUUGGCUGUGGUGAGUGCCCUGCUGACCAAACAAAGCUGAGAGGGCGUGAACCCUCAUUGUCCCCGGAGAGGUAUAUAUACAGAGGACGGGACUCCUGGAGUAGACACCAGAGAAGCUGCAACAUGGCGAAAGUGGUAGAGAAAUCAUGGGAGUCACAAACCACAAACACCAAGCGAUGGAGGAAGAGGAAGAACCAGUCUCGAUCCAGAUCAAGAGGCGCUAGCAAGGUGCUAAAGAUCUACAAGAAGGUAAAAAGAUCAUUUCACAUGAAUUCAAGAAAAAAAUACUCUCCUAAAGUUAUAACCACUUCCAGAAGAAAGAAGAGGGCGAGAAGGGCCAACAAGUUUCAGCCGUUGCCGUAGGCUGAGAGCCAAAAGCAGCCAGGCCAGACCCAGCAGACGCUAUGGAGCAACACCACUCCAAGACCAUGCAAACAGCCCCUAC